UACGAAGGGGGCUAGCGUUGCUCGGAAUCACUGGGCGUAAAGCGCACGUAGGCGGCUCGUUAAGUCAGGGGUGAAAUCCUGGAGCUCAACUCCAGAACUGCCUUUGAUACUGAAGAUCUUGAGUUCGGGAGAGGUGAGUGGAACUGCGAGUGUAGAGGUGAAAUUCGUAGAUAUUCGCAAGAACACCAGUGGCGAAGGCGGCUCACUGGCCCGAUACUGACGCUGAUGCACGAAAGCGUGGGGAGCAAACAGG
rnacentral:rRNA from 1 species